rnacentral:rRNA from 1 species
GACGAACGCUGGCGGCGUGCUUAACACAUGCAAGUCGAACGGAAAGGCCCUGCUUUUGUGGGGUGCUCGAGUGGCGAACGGGUGAGUAACACGUGAGUAACCUGCCCUUGACUUUGGGAUAACUUCAGGAAACUGGGGCUAAUACUGGAUAGGAGCUCCUGCUGCAUGGUGGGGGUUGGAAAGUUUCGGCGGUUGGGGAUGGACUCGCGGCUUAUCAGCUUGUUGGUGGGGUAGUGGCUUACCAAGGCUUUGACGGGUAGCCGGCCUGAGAGGGUGACCGGCCACAUUGGGACUGAGAUACGGCCCAGACUCCUACGGGAGGCAGCAGUGGGGAAUAUUGCACAAUGGGCGGAAGCCUGAUGCAGCAACGCCGCGUGCGGGAUGACGGCCUUCGGGUUGUAAACCGCUUUCGCCUGUGACGAAGCGUGAGUGACGGUAAUGGGUAAAGAAGCACCGGCUAACUACGUGCCAGCAGCCGCGGUGAUACGUAGGGUGCGAGCGUUGUCCGGAUUUAUUGGGCGUAAAGGGCUCGUAGGUGGUUGAUCGCGUCGGAAGUGUAAUCUUGGGGCUUAACCCUGAGCGUGCUUUCGAUACGGGUUGACUUGAGGAAGGUAGGGGAGAAUGGAAUUCCUGGUGGAGCGGUGGAAUGCGCAGAUAUCAGGAGGAACACCAGUGGCGAAGGCGGUUCUCUGGGCCUUUCCUGACGCUGAGGAGCGAAAGCGUGGGGAGCGAACAGGCUUAGAUACCCUGGUAGUCCACGCUGUAAACGGUGGGUACUAGGUGUGGGGUCCAUUCCACGGGUUCCGUGCCGUAGCUAACGCUUUAAGUACCCCGCCUGGGGAGUACGGCCGCAAGGCUAAAACUCAAAGGAAUUGACGGGGCCCCGCACAAGCGGCGGAGCAUGCGGAUUAAUUCGAUGCAACGCGUAGAACCUUACCUGGGUUUGACAUGGAUCGGGAGUGCUCAGAGAUGGGUGUGCCUCUUUUGGGGUCGGUUCACAGGUGGUGCAUGCCUGUCGUCAGCUCGUGUCGUGAGAUGUUGGGUUAAGUCCCGCAACGAGCGCAACCCUUGUUCACUGUUGCCAGCACGUUAUGGUGGGGACUCAGUGGAGACCGCCGGGGUCAACUCGGAGGAAGGUGGGGAUGACGUCAAGUCAUCAUGCCCCUUAUGUCCAGGGCUUCACGCAUGCUACAAUGGCUGGUACAGAGAGUGGCGAGCCUGUGAGGGUGAGCGAAUCUCGGAAAGCCGGUCUCAGUUCGGAUUGGGGUCUGCAACUCGACCUCAUGAAGUCGGAGUCGCUAGUAAUCGCAGAUCAGCAACGCUGCGGUGAAUACGUUCCCGGGGCU